rfam:Selaginella moellendorffii unplaced genomic scaffold SELMOscaffold_28, whole genome shotgun sequence.
AACGAAGGGGAUGAUGUGUUUUACUGCGAGUAUGACUAUGAAAUGAAGUGGCACACUUUUAAGAGAAUUGUCGACUU